UACGGGGGGGGCAAGCGUUGUUCGGAAUUACUGGGCGUAAAGGGUUCGUAGGUGGCCAACUAAGUCAGACGUGAAAUCCCUCAGCUCAACUGGGGAACUGCGUCUGAUACUGGUCGGCUUGAGUGCAGGAGAGGAACGCGGAAUUCCAGGUGUAGCGGUGAAAUGCGUAGAUAUCUGGAGGAACACCAGUGGCGCAAGCGGCUAUCUGGACCGGUACUGACGCUGAGGCACGAAAGCGUGGGGAUCAAACAGG
rnacentral:rRNA from 1 species